UUUUGUUGAACCAGGAAGUGACCUCCCACCAUGAUCACGGAAGGGUUUACCACCUGUACCGCAGCCAGCCACCAGUGGGCAAUCAAGAGACCAGACAGCCGGGGAGACGAAUAGCGAAGCAGAGAAGUCGAGACAGAGCAGACAGGACUGCCUGCAGUUCACAGACCGACUGUCCAUCAUCUCCCACGGAGCCGGCACUCUGCACAUCAAGGUAGAAGACAUGAAGAUUUCUCACUACAUAAAAAGGCUUUAGAGGAGCAAUAAGUCACAGGGAGCCAAUGUGAAUAUAUAUCUCCCGUCUCUGAAC